rnacentral:rRNA from 1 species
ACUGACGGAACUCUUCGGAGGGAAGGCAGUGGAAUGAGCGGCGGACGGGUGAGUAACACGUAAGGAACCUGCCUCAAGGAUUGGGAUAACUCCGAGAAAUCGGAGCUAAUACCGGAUAGUUCAACGGACCGCAUGGUCCGCUGAUGAAAGGCGCUCCGGCGUCACCUUGAGAUGGCCUUGCGGUGCAUUAGCUAGUUGGUGGGGUAACGGCCCACCAAGGCGACGAUGCAUAGCCGACCUGAGAGGGUGAUCGGCCACACUGGGACUGAGACACGGCCCAGACUCCUACGGGAGGCAGCAGUAGGGAAUCUUCCACAAUGGACGAAAGUCUGAUGGAGCAACGCCGCGUGAGUGAUGAAGGUUUUCGGAUCGUAAAACUCUGUUGUAAGGGAAGAACACGUACGAGAGGAAAUGCUCGUACCUUGACGGUACCUUACGAGAAAGCCACGGCUAACUACGUGCCAGCAGCCGCGGUAAUACGUAGGUGGCAAGCGUUGUCCGGAAUUAUUGGGCGUAAAGCGCGCGCAGGCGGCCUUUUAAGUCUGAUGUGAAAGCCCCCGGCUCAACCGGGGAGGGCCAUUGGAAACUGGAAGGCUUGAGUACAGAAGAGAAGAGUGGAAUUCCACGUGUAGCGGUGAAAUGCGUAGAGAUGUGGAGGAACACCAGUGGCGAAGGCGACUCUUUGGUCUGUAACUGACGCUGAGGCGCGA